rnacentral:rRNA from 1 species
AUGAACUACACGGCGUGGGCGAUGAGGAUGAAGUACCUCUUGCGCGCCAACGGCGCGUGGGCUGCCGUUGAUCGAGAGGACUCCUCCAUGGAGGUCGAAGCGGGCAAGGAGAAGAUGGCCAUGACGAUCAUCUCCCAGUCCAUCGACGACUCGACGCUGCUGCGAUUUGCGGAGAAGGAGACAGUGGCCGAUGUGUGGGCGGCGCUAUGCUCCAUGCAUGUGGGCGUCGAGCGCGUCCGAGAGGCGAGGGUUCAAUCCUUGCGCUCAGAAUUUGAUGGCCUCAAGAUGGGUGAUGCGGAGUCCGUGGAUGACUUCGCAGCAAGGUUCACGACGCUCGUGGGGCACAUCCGUGAGCUCGGUGAUUCAAUGGAGGAGAAGUACGUCGCGAAGAAGCUGUUGUGA